UCCCUAAUGAGGAAGUAAAUUUUCCUUCCUUGUGAAGUUGGAAGUACAAAUUGAUUUAGCUGUUUACACACAGUACAGGAUAUUCCGGUAAAAAGCGAAAAUGUUACCGAACGUACUAGUUUGGAGACGUAUUUUUACAAAUUGAGGUGCUUUAAACUUAACAGUUGACACUCAAUUUCAAAACGCGGCUCUUCAUUUCACGAGACGCCGAACUGCAACAGCGACGCCAAACAGUGUCUGAUGCCUGCCUUCAAGAGGAUAGUGCAGAGAGUCCACUGUGACCUGUCAACUGUUUGCAACUGCAGCCAGAACCAAAGUAGACUCAGCCUCAGACGUCACGCCCACGGACCAUUGUCUGAAGGUUUCUCCGUUUGGGGUUUGUCCAUCAACAGAGGCCAAUUAGACUGGACCUGACCAGUCUCUAUUAAAACAGAAAGUGUUUACAUCAGUUUGGCCAGUGUUUGCACUUGAAGAUACUGAGAACCAAACAUAACAGCAACAUGGAUACCCUCUAUUAUGUCCACAAGGCAAGAGUGAGUCCAAAAUGUGGUACAUGCUGCAGUGUAAUGGCUGUGAAGUACCACACCACAUUUUUGUGUUGGGAUACGUGAGAUGUUUUGGCAAGGCUGGAGGACUUGAAGAAGUGCAAGGCUGCUGCGCAGAAGGGGGUGCUUGUGGAGGUUUGUUUAUUCGCAGGAUUAUACACAUCAAGCAUCAGUCUUUUGGGUUAGCCUUCAUCCGUUUGGAAACGGAUCAUUAUCUUAACCUCCGAGCGACUCUCUGUUCCUCUGUCGCAGCGGUGCCAAUUCUGAAAACCGAUCGUAGUUUUGACAUGAUGCUGAACUGCUCUCCUGCGGCCCAGGAUACAUCUGUAAACAUUGGCUAAAUGAAGUCGGUGGGGUUCUCACAAUGAAACACCCCCUGCUCCCACCCCCCUGAUGGCCCUUCCAUCCUUCAGAUAUCCAAUGGAUGUGCUAAAACCCCCGCUGUGUCUGGUCCUUUAGCAGCAGACCUGUCACAAAGCCUCACACCUCGUGGCCGGCUCAGCGGAGGGCCCGUCUCUGGCU